CAAUAGCGUAUAUUAAAGUUGUUGCGGUUAAAAAGCUCGUAGUUGGAUUUCUGCCGAGGACGACCGGUCCGCCCUCUGGGUGAGUAUCUGGCUCGGCCUGGGCAUCUUCUUGGAGAACGUAUCUGCACUUGACUGUGUGGUGCGGUAUCCAGGACUUUUACUUUGAGGAAAUUAGAGUGUUUCAAGCAGGCAUACGCCUUGAAUACAUUAGCAUGGAAUAAUAAGAUAGGACCUCGGUUCUAUUUUGUUGGUUUCUAGAGCUGAGGUAAUGAUUAAUAGGGAUAGUUGGGGGCAUUCGUAUUUAACUGUCAGAGGUGAAAUUCUGGAUUUGUUAAAGACGACUAUGCGAAAGCAUUUGCCAAGGAUGUUUUUCAUUUAGUACUACGAAACGAAACGUUAAAGGGGUUAAGGGGUACUAAACGGAAACGGAAUUUAGGAAUUUAACCGGUACUUACCGAAGUACCUUGGACCGAAACGGUCGACC
rnacentral:rRNA from 1 species